ACUUCCCAGCCUCUCUCCUGCUCCAUCUUGGCUGUGUUCCUGCCAUUCUCAUGCCAGAGGACAUCACUGCCCUGAUGUUGCACAAGGACAACAUGGGGGCACAAGAGCGUUGGCUUGUUUCUCUUUUGAAUUCCUGAUUCAGAAAGCAAUGGGUUCAGGGUCUUGGUGGAUUGUGAUUGAUCUACUCCUGUGGAGAGAAACUCCAACCUCCUGGAGUCUCUUGCCAAGACAUCAAGUCCUGUUCUAGCGGGAGAACAUGAUCCAGGUGAGAAUCCUAUGCCUAGCCUAUGGUGCAGGCUAUACAGAAAUUGCUGAAGAUGCCACAGUCAAAAGCCAUCAUCACUGACAACAGGUGCAGGGGGAGAGGGAUCUCAAGGCACUGCGGGGCCUGAACAAGGACGACAGGGAUGUGGAUCACCCAGCCUUGUCCUCAGACGCCUAUAAUGUCUCCCUGGGAGUCUGCAGUGAGGUUUGAGCACAGUCAAGAAGAGAUUGAGGAACAUUGAAGGAAGACCAAGGUGAGUCACCAUGGAGGCCUAGGCAGAGACUGAAGACAAAGGAUGGCAUCAGGAAAGAGCAGGUCUGAAGGCCAGUGCUCAGAGAACCUCCCACCACAGCCAAGGGCACCACCCCAGGAGUCAACCACUCAGCCUUUGAAUAAAUGAACACUGAGUCUCGGGGGUCCAGGGAUACUGUUAUAUCAAGUAGAAGGGCAUUCAUGAUCCAUCCCCAAUGGUUCAGCGGGCUUCAACUUUCUUCUCUUUUCUUCCCAGAAUCCGGUUUGUAUUUUUUUAAUUUUUACUUUAUUUUAUUGUUUUGAUGAAACCCUAAGACUCCAAGAAGAAAAGUUUUAGAGAAGUUCCUUCUAUCUUUAUUAACUCUAAAUCCAACAAGCCAACCAGCCUGCUUGGAGGAGGACCCUCCCUGCCUGCUUUGCAGAAAUGUCAGGAAUGAUGUAACACUUGGGAUUUUGUUGGCUUGGUUUUGUUGUAGUGGUGCUGAUUGCUUUCUUUUUCAUAUGCAGUUUAAGAGUCAAAGUGCUAGCCCUCUAUCUUUUCACGGCUGCGGAUGUCAAGGCUCAGAGAAGUUAAAAGCACUUUUGGGGAUGCACAGGCUAGGAUGCGGCAGAAACAGGCCUGGUUCCAGAGUCUAGAUCUGUCUUUGUCAAAGGAGGAUGACCAACUUGGGUAACCUCAGUGCUAAGCAUCACUGGAGAAGUGAAAGGGGGUGCCAUGGGUAGAUGGACGGGUACACGUGGAGGACACAGCAGGAAUGGGGCUGCCGUCAGCCACCAUAAAAUAGUGUGCUCAGCCAGUUAGGAAAUGACAUGCCUCCUCUAUACCCCUCCCCCUCCCUGUGCCAAUGGGUGACAAGCCACUAAGAAACCAGAGUUAGAGGUAACUCAGCUCUGUGAGCAUGGAAAGAGGAGUAAGAGAGAGGGCAAAGCAGGUUUGGGGGGGGGUCUGGGGGAGGGGCAUGCUGUGUGAGCAGUGAUGGGGCUCAACUGGGGAGUGGAGCGGCCCUGGUGAUGAACACACUUCCUGGGGUUGAAACACUUGAGAACAAUGCUGACUAAGGGCAUGCCUGGUCCAUUUCUGAGAAGACUAGUGCUGUUGCUGGGGGUGGUAAACACGCAGAUUGGAGUUUAAAUGUGACUUGCAGGAAAGCCAGGUGCAAGCUUCAUUCCCUGAGUUAAAAUAAAAUAAAAUAAAAUAAAAUAAAAUAAAAAAGCUUUUAAGGCAA
rnacentral:lncRNA from 1 species